ACACUCACAUCAGCAGCACAUAUACUAAAAUUGAACAAUAUAUAGAAGAUAAGCAUGGCUGCUGUGAAAGUAUGACGCAAAUCUGUGAAGCAUUACAUUUCUUU